rnacentral:lncRNA from 1 species
GAUAAUUGAACUUGAACAUUGUAAAAGGGAACAGUUUCUUGUGGCCAAAUGUUGCUGAAAAAUGUUAAGUAUCUCUAAUUAGAUGUUGGCAAAAUUAAACUGGCCAUUGACAGAUUUGAACUUAAAUUCAAAUUGUUGAUUUUAAAAAGCUCUUAAAGUUGAUGUAAAUAAAAUCGGUAAUUUGUGUAAAUGCCACAAAAAAAAAAAAAAGCUACCAAAUCCCAUACUAGAUAAACCCCAGAUAAAUCGACAAUCAUAAAGAAGUUAAACAAAUUAUAAGAGAAAGAAAAAUGAAAGCCGCCAUAGGCGUCCCCAAGCAUUUCGCUUGUUUUCUUGCCAUACAUAUGUAUUUUAGGGAAGACACGUAAUGUGAUGGCUCCAUGCUCGGGGUAUGGUGGCGGGUCUUGCGCUAAGACUCCAUAUUUCGCCCCAACUGCAUAUGCAAAAGAGAAAGGGAAAUAGAAUUAGGAAGGAGACCAUGCUAUUUCAAGUGACCAUGAGAAUAAAAAUGAUAUCAAGAAAACAAAUUUCACCAAAGAUUAACGACAGAACUAUAAGCUUUGUCAAAUAAUUUGUAAGCUUUGUGAAAGCAAAUAAUUUGUCAUGCCAGAAAGUCACGGUACUGUAGAAAUCCAACUUAUCCUCCCGGAAAAGUACUCAAAACAGAAAGUCUACAUCUUUCCAUUAAAUUCGAGAUGAAGUGAGUGCUAGCUAAGUAUUGUAUCCUAAAGGCAUGCUUCUCUAAGCGGGAGUAAACAAAAUAAACCAUUUCAGAACAUACUUCAUGUUCUUUAGCAAAACUUGAACUCUUCAAGUCAAUCUCCCAUAAGAAAAUAUUAGAUCUUAAUAGAAUACUUUCUUGCUAUAAAUUACCCAAUAAUUACACAAUAAGUUAGUAUAAGUCAUUUAUCACAUUACUCAUACUUAGCUUAUCCAUUUCAAGUACAAAGAUGAUCCAGAGCAUUAAGAGAAUACUUCUUAACGGACGUACUAUUUGGGCAGUGAACAACUACAUUUCAUGAGAUGAAAGUUUUCAUCUUCAUUCUAAUACAUAAUAACAAUAUAACAACGUCUAACCUAAUAGUUCCAUUAAGCUACAAUCAUGUACUUGGCCUAGUUUAUUAGAAUGCUAAUGAAUAUCUAUUAACCAUGUAGAGAUAAUAUCUAUUAAGCACAAACAAAAUCGAACUUCUCAUAUAACAGCCUACGUUCACUUUGGGUUCAAUUUCUUUCGAGCAAAAUGUUUUAGAAUCUUAUAAGCAUUAUUUCUAAAAGAUAAAAUCACAUACACAAUAUUUGAAUUCUAGAUACAAGACUUACAUAUUCUGUGAAUAAAUAUAACUACUAUCAUGCUUUGUAAUCUAAGAAAUAGGAGAAGGCAUACCCGUCACAUUAACGAGUUGUAUCAUUUCUUUUAGGCGAUAUUUAAGUGAGCAAAUACUACAUCCAUCCUAAAUGGUAUUGCGAGAUUACUAUCUGCUACUGACUAAACGAGUUGCCCUUCUUAUCCACAGUCAUGACAAAAGAUAGUUCGUGUAGGCAUUUUAUCAAAUACUUAUCGGUUAGUACAGACAAUUAUACAACCAGUACAUACAUUUUCUUAAUGACAUGACUUUACAAAUACUAGUAAGAGAAAAAUCCAAAUAUAGGAUUUCUAGGAAGAACAGAAUGACGACUCAAACUAAACAUUAAAAAGCAUAUCAACCAUCUAUAUUUAACAAAAAUAAAAAAGCUAACAACUUUCACAGAAUGUACCACAACAUAAAAGUGUUUCAAAUUUCAGAAUCGAAAUAAACAAAGAGAAGAAAAGUUACUGACCUUUUUGCGGGAAGUGAACUAGAGCGCUUGCCAAGGCUAUUACCACGACCUUGUCAACUCAAAUAUGAAAUAGAAAAUAUUUUAAGGCUUCGGCUAUGGCUAUGACAAACAGAAAAUUUAGAGGAAAUAGGAGCAGCGAGUUUAGGGUGAAAGAGGAGGCUGAAACCCUCUAGUUUUGGGUAAAAGGGGCGGCUCUCCCUUAUCCGAAAAUCUCUUCAAAGGUCAGUAUUUAUAGGCUGAUUACUAGGGUUCUUGGUUUGGGCGGGAUUUUGAAAUUGAGUCAAGGAUUUUGAACGUUUGAAAUUUGAACAUUGAUGUUGCAGAAAAUUAAUUAAGGUGCAGAGCUUCUUGUUAAAAAUGGUCAUGGCAUGUCCUGCCAUGGCUGAGCAAGGAUGAAAUUUUGUAAAGAAGAGGAAAUAGAGGAGAAGAAGCGUCUCUUUCAG